GUUAUCUAGUCACUUGAGAUUAGAGGCUAAUAAAAUAUCUAUAUAAACUGGUCAGGGUCCAAGUAAAUUCAAAACUGGACAAAGCUAUUCUAUUGUUUAUACACAAAUAGCAAAAGAAAAUAAAAUGGAGAGGAAAGUGUUAGUUCUUGUUGCAGCCAUUUUUCUUAUCAGUACAGCAUGCGCAACAUGUCGGACAAACUGCGCACACAGAUAUCAAGACGAUGUAAACAGCUGUGAAGCCCACGGAGGUACAAAUGACGCAUGCGUAGACAAGGCAACGGCACACAUGCUCCACUGCAUGAAACCAUGUUCAUCUAGAAAAAGGAGCGUAAACUGGAAGCUAUUCAAUGUGUAAAUCUUAACUUUCAGUUUUGACGAGGACUAUUUUGGAUAAAAUAGGUCCGAUAUACGAUUUGUGUAACAGGUUAUUUAUAAUAGAACGACUAUCAGUGUAUAACUUCACUACACUAAGUUUGUUUGUUGCAUUGAACUUAUUGGCAAAUUGAGACUUUUUUUUAUUGUAUAUAUGUUUUGUUGUUGUUGUUUAAUUGUUCAACAUGAAAUGUUGAGUUCUUUGUCCAUUGUCUUAAAUGAUAUAUGUAUGUGAUACAAUAUAAUUUAUUUUUAUACUGUAAAUAAAUAAUGCUUAUUUUA